AUGACCACACAGCAAAACCACCACCGAGCAGCAGCUGAAGAAUUCCCGCUGAACUCGCCUGCCUCCUCCACCGGCUCCGCCGACUCCGCACCCUUGCACCACCGCGCCCCAGCCACGCCGUCAACUGUGCUCCCGUUCGACACCAACGACGCCGACGAGAUGCUCCUGCUCCACAUGCUCUCCCAGCACCACGAGGUCCAGCACGACGCGGCGGCACCCACGAUUGCGCCGGUGAAGCGGGAGGCCAGCCAAGAGGAAGACAAGGCGGCCGUGGACGUCGGGCCUGCGUUCCGCGGGGCGCGCAAGCGACCGUGGGGCAUGUUUGCGGCGGAAAUCCGUGACUCGACGCGGAACGGCAUGCGGGUGUGGCUGGGCACCUUCGACAGCCCGGAAGCUGCGGCGCUCGCGUACGACCAAGCUGCGUUCGCCAUGCUCAACUUCCCCGCCGACCAGGUCAGGCGCUCUCUCGAGGGCGCCGACGCCGACGUGUGCGGCCAUGCCCAAGGCGUAUCGCCCGUGCUGGCGCUCAAGCGGCGGCAUUCCAUGCGUAGCGGGAAGGCCAUGACAACAGGCAGGAAGUCGAAGGCUUCCACCCGGGGGGCGCAGCCAGAGGGCAUGGGGAUGGAACUUGAGGACCUUGGUACAGAGUACCUGGAGCAGCUGCUCGGCCCACCUCCUCCAUGA
rnacentral:rRNA from 1 species